AUUGAACGCUGACGGAAUGCUUUACACAUGCAAGUCGAACGGCAGCACGAGGGCAACCCUGGUGGCGAGUGGCGAACGGGUGAGUAAUACAUCGGAACGUGCCCAGUCGUGGGGGAUAACUACGCGAAAGCGUAGCUAAUACCGCAUACGAUCUACGGAUGAAAGCGGGGGAUCGCAAGACCUCGCGCGAUUGAAGCGGCCGAUGGCAGAUUAGGUAGUUGGUGAGGUAAAGGCUCACCAAGCCUGCGAUCUGUAGCUGGUCUGAGAGGACGACCAGCCACACUGGGACUGAGACACGGCCCAGACUCCUACGGGAGGCAGCAGUGGGGAAUUUUGGACAAUGGGCGCAAGCCUGAUCCAGCCAUUCCGCGUGCAGGAUGAAGGCCCUCGGGUUGUAAACUGCUUUUGUACGGAACGAAACGCGCUGAGUUAAUACCUCGGCGUAAUGACGGUACCGUAAGAAUAAGCACCGGCUAACUACGUGCCAGCCGCCGCGGUAACAC
rnacentral:rRNA from 1 species